rnacentral:rRNA from 1 species
GGAGGUUACUGCUAUCGGUGUUCGCCUACCCUUUGCGAGUCAUAUGUUCUUCGUGAACAUGGCGUACUGCUCAGUAACACGUGAAUAACCUGCCCUUGGGACCGGCAUAACCCCGGGAAACUGGGGAUAAUUCCGGAUACUACAUAUAUGCUGGAAUGCUUUAUGCAUAAAAUGGAUUCGUCUGCCCAAGGAUGGGUCUGCGGCCUAUCAGGUAGUAGUGGGUGUAAUGUACCUACUACCCAACGACGGGUACGGGUUGUGAGAGCAAGAGCCCGGAAAUGGAUUCUGAGACAUGAAUCCAGGCCCUACGGGGCGCAGCAGGCGCGAAAACUUUACAAUGCGGGAAACCGUGAUAAGGGGACACCGAGUGCCAGCAACAUUUGUUGGCUGUCCAGGUGUGUAAACUACACCUGUUAGCAAGGGCCGGGCAAGACCGGUGC